GUGCCCUGGCCUAGCCCAUGCUUGCACCCAAGAGGCAGCGAGGAGAGAAGCACCAACCACAGCCUCAUCACUCCCACACGCCCAUGAGUUGCCUUCUUUCUGCUUAAUGAGAAGCUGUAACUGCUGAGUGCACAACGCAGACAUCAGAGCAAAGAUCCCAGCUAUGGGCCCUCCACAUGCCCUCCUGACUCAUCACAGUCUUCCUGCUAACCGGGGCAUGAGGCACUGCCUACAGCAGAGAUCAAAGCAGGGCCAGAGCUGGGCAAAUGGGCUGAGAGACAAAAAAGCCACAAAUGGAGCUGCACACUUACUAAUGAAAGCCAGGGCUUUGCAGGCAUCAGGGCAAAAUGACCACAAUGGGAUGGCAAAAAGCUGGUUCUUCCUGAUUUACCGAACUUGAUGAGGGAGAGUCAUGUGUGGAAGGGGGGUCUCUUGUUGGGGUGAGCCAGAUGCAGGGUGAUCCAGUGGCAGCCAGGAAAGAGGAUGGGAGUUUGGACCUUCUCGAGGGGCAGAAACACACAGAGGUCUUACCGCAGCCUUGGUGUGGAGUCUCUCAGUUAACUGAGCUCUUGAGCAAUGUCUUGUCUCUGACCAUUCCCAAAGUGGCUUCUUAAAACUGAAAAACCAACUGACUGACUUCCUUUCAAUGUAUCUGAUAGUUAAAAGAAAACACUCUGGCAAAUGACACUGCAUCUCAAGACAGGUUUUGAUCAGCUGGAGCAGCCAGUGCCCUUUGAAGUGUGCUGUACAUCACUGACUUGGCUGGCUGCAUCUGUCUGCUUCCAUCAAGUGUUCCUGCAAGGGAGCCGUCUGCUGGGAAGGGCAGCAUGGGGGAGAAAUGGAGUUACUGGAUAGCCGCUGAGUUUUCUCAGAGGGGGAACUCAAGAGCACUUCAAGUUUAGAAUACCAUCCAGCUGUGGUAAGCAAAGGACGGGUGAAAGUGCAUUUCUGAGCAAGACUUCUGCAAGAACUGACCUUCCAGCAAUAAAACAGCUUAAUCCUUCAACAGCUCCCAUGGGGCUUGGGUGCUCAUUCAAACUCAGCAAAGGAGGUUCAGGUCCAUGGAGAGCAGGUGCUACUGGCUCUCUUGGGCACUACUGUGGUGGGGAAUUGUCUCUCCACCCCUAGUGUGCAAAAGUGUUCCCACCUGAAUACAGCACUGCUCAGCUCAAGGACCAGAGCACAGAUUUCAGGCUUGGCUUCCAAAGAUUCUGCUCAGGGGAGGAGACUGAGACAAGUAUGGGAGAAGGAGAAACACUGCUGCUGAAAUGCUAUGGCAUUUUGACAAAAGCUAUGCGAGGAGAUUCCAGAAACUUGCUUUAUGGUUUAAAAAGAAAAAAAAAAAAGCAAGCCCCAUUUCCAUUAGCCUUUUAUUUCCUGCUAAUUAUUCAGUACUCUUUCCAGUUUGGAGCAUGAAGCACCAUGGCCGCUUCAUCUCCUGCCCACCCGGAAUGUGCUGCUGGCUUUGUAGGUUAUCUGGGGUGCGGUGCAGGAGGAAGGGGGAAAAGGAAUGAUGGAAUUUAUUAUUAAUUUUGGAAGGAGAUAUAAAAAGUAAGCAUUAAAGUCUAUCCUAAAUACAAGGAUUCAGC
rnacentral:lncRNA from 7 species